GUUCACUGUUGCACUGUUUCAGUGUAUUAAAGAAGCAAACACAGUGGAGGGCCAGCCAGCAUAGCUAUCUAUGGUAGCUCCAGAACAAAAAGCCCAGAAGAAAUCAGAGCCUCUUUGUGAACAGCUUCCGUCUCCAGUAUAUUGAGGGAAAGUGACUGACAUGCAGUGGACAUCCCACCUGGUCUUACCUGAGCCGUUUUUCAGAUAUCCAUUUGCAUCUACUGUUGUGUACAUGAUAUAAGGUCCAGGCUGAUUCACUCCAAAGGGCUGCAGGAAGAAAGGAAAUAGUUGGCCUUGAGAAAGUUGCCUUCAGUGAAUGUUUAUCAAGUAUACACAGUUGUUCAAAAGUGUGGGCCAGAAAGAUUGUAAGAGUCAGUGGGAAUGGAAGACACUAAGGAAACGAGGCCUUCUAAACACAUCAGGACUGACACACAUCUGAACACAGGGACUGUGGCAGCAUGCAGAGAUCUAAGGACUGUAGGACCCUAUGGUAUGAACCUCCUUGCCCUUCAAAACAGAGCACCUGGAAUCUAAGAAAAUGAAUCUAUAAAAAAGCCAUGGGAUGAGUUCUCCGAUCACACAAGAAACUAUAAGCUGACCCCCUCGACUCCUCCUGGGAGAGACUUUACCAGAUUAAGUACUGUCAGUCACAAGUAAUUGUGAGAAGACAUUUUGCAAGUGUCUGUCAUGCAGUUUACCCCCUACCUUCCAGAUGUAUUCUUCAAUAUAGCCAGAGCAUCUGGGUAGCCGUCCAUGUUGUAGUCUCCAAUGUGAAGUGUGAGUGGGAUUGGUAUUGUGGUUGGUUGUUCUUCAUGCACAAAUGGCACAAAGCCCCAGAGUGUACCCUUAUUGCUAAAAUCCUGAAGCACAGGAACCCACUAAGGAUAGAGAAAAAAAAAAGAGUAUUCAUAAUCACUUUAGGGAAAUAGUCACCAUUUGCAAAAGGAACGAUCCAUCCAAAGUGCUGAAGACAGUCAUCAUUUUAUUUCAUUUUCACAGAAUGGUAGGCAUGAUCAUUUACUCUGAUGUACGUGUGAGACCCUGGGAGGACUGGUCUUCCAUAGGCUUUGUCCUGAGCAUCUUUGCUUGAACAGCACACAGAGCCACAGGGCCCUCACACAUACAUGCAACCGUAGGAAUGAACAAGCUCUGUCCUCACCUGACAGGCAUCACACAGACAAGGGGAAUCUACUAUGACACCAAAACAGAUGGAAGCAAAAGUUUUAGUAAAUCUUCAUGGUCUAUAAUGAUUACAACGAAGAGAAUAGAAAAGAUUAGCUUGACUGUAAAGUGAGCUUCUCCCCUUCUCUUCUGAUUGCACAGGUCUCCUCACGCUUUGAUAAAUUAAUAUAAAACUAGAAUCUGAAGAGUAGAGAUCAUAGCAUUAACAUUACAGCUGUGUCACACUUCCUUAAGAAUCAUUACGUUAGCAUUGAUCCUGGACAUGGCUUAAGUGGAAGCAGGUAUACUUCAAUUGGCAAGUAGCCAAACAUGCCCACACAUGCAUUAUUUCUCCUCACAAGCAAAUGGUUAACCUUGAUUGCUGCAAACUAAAGUAUAUU